rnacentral:rRNA from 1 species
AGGGAAACAACCCAGACCGUCAGCUAAGGUCCCAAAUUAUGAUUAAGUGGGAAACAAUGUGGGAAGGCACAAACAGCUAGGAGGUUGGCUUAGAAGCAGCCACCCUUUAAAGAAAGCGUAAUAGCUCACUAGUCGAGUCGGCCUGCGUGGAAGAUAUAACGGGGCUAAAUCAUAAACCGAAGCUACGGAUCUUAAAUUUAUUUAAGAUGGUAGAAGAGCGUUCUGUAAGCGGUCGAAGGCGUGCUGUAAGGCGUGCUGGACGUAUCAGAAGUGCGAAUGUUGACAUGAGUAACGAUCAAAGAGGUGAAAAACCUCUUCGCCGAAAAUCCAAGGUUUCCUGUCCAACGCUAAUCGAGGCAGGGUGAGUCGGCUCCUAAGGCGAGGGCGAAAGCCGUAGUCGAUGGAAAACAGGUUAAUAUUCCUGUACUUCUUAUAAUUGCGAUGGGGUGACGGAGAAGGUUAGGCUAGCACGGCGAUGGUUGUCCGUGUUCAAGGUUGUAGACUUAGAUCUUAGGUAAAUCCGGGAUCUUUUAAGGUCGAGAACUGAUAACGACCACUCUUUGAGUGGGAAGUAGUUGAUACCAUGCUUCCAGGAAAAACCUCUAAGCUUCAGAUUAUAAGGAACCGUACCCGAAACCGACACAGGUGGAUAAGUCGAGAAGACUAAGGUGUUUGAGAGAACUAUGGUGAAGGAACUAGGCAAAAUGGUACCGUAACUUCGGGAGAAGGUACGCCACCAUCGGUGAUAAGACUUGCUCUUUAAGCUGAUUGUGGUCGAAGAAACUAGGUGGCUGCGACUGUUUAUUAAAAACAUAGCACUCUGCAAAAUCGUAAGAUGACGUAUAGGGUGUGACGCCUGCCCGGUGCCGGAAGGUUAAUUGAUGGGGUUAGCUUUGGCGAAGCUCCUGAUCGAAGCCCCGGUAAACGGCGGCCGUAACUAUAACGGUCCUAAGGUAGCGAAAUUCCUUGUCGGGUAAGUUCCGACCUGCACGAAUGGCGUAAUGAUGGCCACGCUGUCUCCACCCAAGACUCAGUGAAAUUGAAAUUGCUGUUAAGAUGCAGUGUACCCGCGGCUAGACGGAAAGACCCCGUGCACCUUUACUAUAGCUUCACACUGGACUUUGACCUUAUCUGUGUAGGAUAGGUGGGAGACUUUGAAGCGCUAUCGCUAGAUAGCGUGGAGUCGCCCUUGAAAUACCACCCUGGUAACGUUGAGGUUCUAACUUAGGUCCCUAAUCGGGAUUGAGGACAGUGUGUGGUGGGUAGUUUGACUGGGGCGGUCUCCUCCUAAAGAGUAACGGAGGAGCACGAAGGUACCCUAAGAGCGGUCGGAAAUCGCUCGUUUAGUGUAAUGGCAUAAGGGUGCUUGACUGCGAGAGUGACAACUCGAGCAGGAGCGAAAGCUGGUCAUAGUGAUCCGGUGGUUCUGAAUGGAAGGGCCAUCGCUCAACGGAUAAAAGGUACGCCGGGGAUAACAGGCUGAUACCGCCCAAGAGUUCACAUCGACGGCGGUGUUUGGCACCUCGAUGUCGGCUCAUCACAUCCUGGGGCUGAAGCCGGUCCCAAGGGUAUGGCUGUUCGCCAUUUAAAGUGGUACGCGAGCUGGGUUUAGAACGUCGUGAGACAGUUCGGUCCCUAUCUGCCGUGG